rnacentral:rRNA from 1 species
AGUGAACGCUGGCGGUAGGCCUAACACAUGCAAGUCGAACGGCAGCACAGUAAGAGCUUGCUCUUACGGGUGGCGAGUGGCGGACGGGUGAGGAAUACAUCGGAAUCUACUUUUUCGUGGGGGAUAACGUAGGGAAACUUACGCUAAUACCGCAUACGACCUACGGGUGAAAGCAGGGGAUCUUCGGACCUUGCGCGAUUGAAUGAGCCGAUGUCGGAUUAGCUAGUUGGCGGGGUAAAGGCCCACCAAGGCGACGAUCCGUAGCUGGUCUGAGAGGAUGAUGAGCCACACUGGAACAAGGACACGGGACAGACGCCUAAGGGAGGAAGCAGUGGGGAAUAGUGGACAAGGGGCGCAAGCCUGAACCAGCCAUAUCGCGGGAGGGAAGAAGGCCAGCUGGUUGGAAAGCCCUUUUGUUGGGAAAGAAAAGCAGCAGACUAAUACCCCGCUGGUCUGACGGGACCCAAAGAAAAAGAACAGGCUAACUUCGUG